rnacentral:misc_RNA from 1 species
UGGUGGUGUUCACUAGUGGAAUCGUCGACGUUCCCCAGGUUCUCGUGGGGUGUUGGUGCUGCUCCUGUGUGGGUGGUGCUGGUGCCUGGCGGGGUGGGGUUGGUGGCACACUGUUGGGGUUCUGAGGCAUCAGGGCCCCCCGAUUGCUGCGUGCGCGUGGUGGUGGGGGGUGUGGUGUUUUGGUUCCCGGCCAGGUCCUGGCUCCCGUUGGGGGGUUGGGGGUGGUGUGGGGUUGUUGUUUGAGAUCUGGAUAGUGGACGCGAGCAUCUUUUGUAGUAAUUGUUUCGUUGGUUUGU